rnacentral:rRNA from 1 species
UACGUAGGGGGGCGAGCGUUGUCCGGAGUUACUGGGCGUAAAGCGCACGCAGGCGGUCUGCUAAGUUUGGAGUGACAGUUGGUGGCUUAACUGCCAAAAGUGCUUCGAAAAACUGACAGACUUGAGGGCUUCAGAGGGACACGGAAUUCCGGGUGUAGCGGUGGAAUGCGUAGAGAUCCGGAAGAACACCGGUGGCGAAGGCGGCCCGCUGGGCAGGAAGACACCGCAAGGUGUCGGCUGACGCUGAGGCGCGACAGCGUGGGGAGCAAACAGG